GAACCAGCUACCAGGCAGGUAGUGACUUGGAUGGUAAUACAGUUACAUGAAAGGAGUACAAAUCCAUGACGUUCGCAUCCAGGUAGUAAACAAGGCAGUCCGGUUGGCCAACAUUGUGCCUUGCAUUUUGAGAAAGACCCUAAAUGAUGUUCAGUUCAAAGGAUACACAAUUCCGGCAGGAUGGGGGUUGAUGGUAUGCCCACUAGCAGUGCACUUGAAUCCAAAUAUUUACCUACAUCCUCUCAUUUUCAGUGCUUCAAAGUUUAAGAAUGGAUUUUAACUAUGAGAACAAGGCAGUGCCAGCUCAACUGGAGAAAACGCAAGAGUUGUUGGACAAGCACAUAGUACACGUCUGGCCAUGCCCCGUUUCACCUUUCUUUCGUCAUGACAAGAAGGAAGAGAAGUCUCUACAAUCCUCGAGGGAAUCACCUCUAGCAAGCAAGUAGCUCCUAAAGAAAUUUGAUGAUUAUCAUGCCUUGCAAUGCCCCAUUCAGCUUUAGAUGAAGAGUAGCGAAUUGUUUGGACUGAAUUCUGAAUAUGCUGCAUUUGUGCCAUGUGAGAGAAAUAGCAUAUUGUUAUCAUCUUGAAAUAGUAGACAAAAAUGUACAUUGAGACUACAGAGAGAUGACGGCUUGAUAUAUAGUCGCAGCACCAUCAUUGGCUGCAAGAAUUUG